rnacentral:RNase_P_RNA from 1 species
CCAGAUAAAUGACUUAUCGCUUUAUAAAUUUUAUAGAGAGGAAAGUCCGGGCUUUGCAAGGACACAGUGCCAGGUAAUACCUGGCGGGGGCAACCCUAGGGACAGUGCCACAGAAAAUAAACCGCCUUAUCAAGGCAAGGGUGAAAAGGUGUGGUAAGAGCACACCGGCUUAAUUGGUAACAAUAAGCGCAUGGAAAACCCCACUGGAAGCAAGACCAAGUAGAGAUGACAUUGUAAAUUACAAAAAGCAGUCUUUGGCUAGUCAUCAGGGUUGGUCGCUUGAGCUUUAAGGAGACUUAAAGCCUAGAUAAAUGAUAUGUUUAAAUGACAGAACCCGGCUUACAGUUUAUCUGGCAUC